UAAAGAUUCAUCGCUGAUAGAUAGGCAUGCGCUCCAUUAGGCAGUUGGCGGGGUAACGGCCCACCAAACCGACGAUGGAUAGGGGUUCUGAGAGGAAGGUCCCCCACAUUGGUACUGAGACACGGACCAAACUCCUACGGGAGGCAGCAGUGAGGAAUAUUGGUCAAUGGGCGUAAGCCUGAACCAGCCAAGUCGCGUGAGGGAUGAAGGUUCUAUGGAUCGUAAACCUCUUUUAUAAGGGAAUAAAGUGCGGGACGUGUCCCGUUUUGUAUGUACCUUAUGAAUAAGGAUCGGCUAACUCCGUGCCAGCAGCCGCGGUAAUACGGAGGAUCCGAGCGUUAUCCGGAUUUAUUGGGUUCAAAGGGUGCGUAGGCGGCCUUUUAAGUCAGCGGUGAAAGUCUGUGGCUCAACCAUAGAAUUGCCGUUGAAACUGGGAGGCUUGAGUAUGUUUGAGGCAGGCGGAAUGCGUGGUGUAGCGGUGAAAUGCUUAGAUAUCACGCAGAACCCCGAUUGCGAAGGCAGCCUGCCAAGCCAUGACUGACGCUGAUGCACGAAAGCGUGGGGAUCAAACAGGAUUAGAUACCCUGGUAGUCCACGCAGUAAACGAUGAUCACUAGCUGUUUGCGAUACACAGUAA
rnacentral:rRNA from 1 species